rnacentral:rRNA from 1 species
GACUUGCCCUUUAGACUGGGAUAACAGAGGGAAACUUCUGAUAAUACUGGAUAAGUUAGUAUAUCGCAUGAUAUGCAAAUGAAAGCUACGGCACUAAAGGAGAGCUUUGCGUCCUAUUAGCUAGUUGGUAAGGUAAGAGCUUACCAAGGCGAUGAUAGGUAGCCGGCCUGAGAGGGUGGACGGCCACAAGGGGACUGAGAUACGGCCCUUACUCCUACGGGAGGCAGCAGC